rnacentral:rRNA from 1 species
CGGGACGGGUGAGUAAUGUCUGGGAAACGGCUCGAUGGAGGGGGAUAACUACUGGAAACGGUAGCUAAUACCGCAUAACGUCGCAAGACCAAAGAGGGGGACCUUCGGGCCUCUUGCCAUCGGAUGUGCCCAGAUGGGAUUAGCUAGUAGGUGGGGUAACGGCUCACCUAGGCGACGAUCCCUAGCUGGUCUGAGAGGAUGACCAGCCACACUGGAACUGAGACACGGUCCAG